GACGAACGCUGGCGGCGUGCCUAACACAUGCAAGUGGAGCGACGAACCAGGGCUUGCCCUGGGGCCAAGCCGCGAACGGGUGAGUAACACGUGGGUAACCUGCCCCGAUGACCGGGACAACCCGAGGAAACUCGGGCUAAUACCGGAUGUGGUGUACACACAUCAGUGUGUCCACUAAAGGAAGCUUCGGCCUCCACAUUGGGAUGGGCCCGCGGCCCAUUAGCUUGUUGGUGGGGUAAUGGCCACCAAGGCAACGAUGGGUAGCUGGUCUGAGAGGACGAUCAGCCACACUGGGACUGAGACACGGCCCAGACUCCUACGGGAGGCAGCAGUGGGGAAUCUUGCGCAAUGCGCGAAAGCGUGACGCAGCAACGCCGCGUGA
rnacentral:rRNA from 1 species